UACAGAGGCCCCAAGCGUUACUGAGAAUCACUGGGUUUAAAGGGUGCGUAGGUGGUCCGUUAAGUCCGUUGUGAAAUCCCUGGGCUCAACCCAGGAACUGCUUCGGAUACUGGCGGACUUGAGGCGAGUAGGGGUCACUGGAACUGACGGUGGAGCGGUGAAAUGCGUAGAUAUCGUCAGGAACGCCGAUGGUGAAGACAGGUGACUGGGCUCGAUCUGACACUGAGGCACGAAAGCGUGGGGAUCAAACGGG
rnacentral:rRNA from 1 species